rnacentral:rRNA from 1 species
UACAGAGGUCUCAAGCGUUGUUCGGAUUCAUUGGGCGUAAAGGGUGUGUAGGUGGCGCCGUAAGUCGGGUGUGAAAGCUCGGAGCUCAACUCCGAAAUGGCAUUGGAAACUACCUUGCUCGAGGGUUGGAGGGGGGACUGGAAUUCUCGGUGUAGCAGUGAAAUGCGUAGAUAUCGAGAGGAACACCAGUGGCGAAGGCGAGUCCCUGGACAACUCCUGACACUGAGGCACGAAAGCUAGGGGAGCAAACAGG